UGGGGAAUAUUGCACAAUGGGUGCAAGCCUGAUGCAGCCAUGCCGCGUGUGUGAAGAAGGCCUUCGGGUUGUAAAGCACUUUCAGCGGGGAGGAAGGCGAUAAGGUUAAUAACCUUGUCGAUUGACGUUACCCGCAGAAGAAGCACCGGCUAACUCCGUGCCAGCAGCCGCGGUAAUACGGAGGGUGCAAGCGUUAAUCGGAAUUACUGGGCGUAAAGCGCACGCAGGCGGUCUGUCAAGUCGGAUGUGAAAUCCCCGGGCUUAACCUGGGAACUGCAUUCGAAACUGGCAGGCUAGAGUCUUGUAGAGGGGGGUAGAAUUCCAGGUGUAGCGGUGAAAUGCGUAGAGAUCUGGAGGAAUACCGGUGGCGAAGGCGGCCCCCUGGACAAAGACUGACGCUCAGGUGCGAAAGCGUGGGGAGCAAACAGG
rnacentral:rRNA from 1 species